UACGUAGGGUCCGAGCGUUGUCCGGAGUUACUGGGCGUAAAGCGCGCGCAGGUGGUCCAUUAAGCCCCGGCGUGAAAGCCCCGGCUCAACCGGGGAGGGUCGUCGGGGACUGGUGGACUUGAGGGCGGCAGGGGCUGGUGGAAUCCCCGGUGUAGUGGUGAAAAUGCGUAGAUAUCGAGAGGAACACCUGCGGCGAAGGCGGGUUGCUGGGCCGACACUGACGCUGAUGCGCGAAAGCCAGGGGAGCGAACGGG
rnacentral:rRNA from 1 species